AUGCUUAAAAUUGAUCUUGCCAAAGCUUUUGAUCGUUUAGAAUGGAAUUUCAUUGUUUCAGCUUUGACACGUAAAGGACUUCAUGAUCAUUUUGUUAAUCUGGUUCAUGCAUGCAUCUCUUCGCCUAUGUUUUCUGUGCUCAUUAAUGGGCAUCCCUCUCAAAAAUUUAGAAGUUGCUGAGGUAUCUGAAAAGGUUGUCCCAUGUCUCCUUAUUUGUUUGUCAUUGCCAUUAAUGACUAUAUCAUGCUCAAUGAGGCUCUUCAGGCCAAUCAUUUGCAGGGUAUUUCUCUUGGACUAAAUUGCCCCUCUGUGCAUUCUCUUCUUUUUGCAGAUGAUUUGUUGGUGUGUGAGCAGGCAUCUUGCCAAGAGGCACAAGCUAUGGCUAAUCUCUCAAUAUUUUUGUGCUCUCUCUGGUCAAACUCCUAA
rnacentral:rRNA from 1 species